rnacentral:rRNA from 1 species
UACGGAGGGGGCUAGCGCUGUUCGGAAUUACUGGGCGUAAAGCGCACGUAGGCGGACCGGAAAGUCAGAGGUGAAAUCCCAGGGCUCAACCUUGGAACGGCCUUUGAAACUCCUGGUCUUGAGUUCGAGAGAGGUGAGUGGAAUUCCGAGUGUAGAGGUGAAAUUCGUAGAUAUUCGGAGGAACACCAGUGGCGAAGGCGGGUCUCUGGGCCGUAACUGACGCUGAGGUGCGAAAGCGUGGGGAGCAAACAGG